CGGGGGUAGUCCAAAACAUGACUGUGGGAGAGUGGGAUGAGAGGAUUCACCAUGAGUACGAAGGUGAAAAACUAUGUGUGAUCGGUGUAAGAACCCACAAGACCUCUACUCAACAAGUUGCUGCUUUCGCGCUGGAUAAUGAUGAAGAGUCGUGGUUUCAGGCCUACUAUGAAAAAGUCCGGCCAUUGCUAACCAGAAGUGAC